CAUACUACUGGCAUGAUGGUUUGUGUUACCUGUUUCGCCACUACUGUGUGUUAUUGUACUACCAAACGAACUUACGUAGACUAACCAUACGACGACGAAACAAUACGAACAACAAACCAACAACAACCAGCACCUGGCCAGACUGUUUUUGGGAGCUGGCUAUAGGAGGUUAAUCCAACUACCGCAUCCAAGUACCUGAUCAGUUCUUUCCGAAGAGCUUUGCUAGCUGGUAACUUCGUCGAGUCUUUUUGGUUUUGGUUAUUGUUCUUCUUGGUUUUUUCGUAGUCAAAAUAUAAAUUGCUAUCAAUUUAAUACUUAAUUGUGUUUUUUUGCAACAAGUCGUUAAAUCGAGCUUGGUCAAAGGUUGACAUUUAGUAUCUUUUCCUGUAUAUUGUGGGUGAAUUUUGCAAACUAAAAAGGUCAAAACUUCAGGAAAUAUUAACCUUUCGUGUGUAUUUGAUUUUGAUUUUUCAAACAGUUUUGAAAAUCUCUCAAAAACGUUUCUUCGGUUAACUUUUCAAAAGUUUAUUUACGUUUACCGCGCUUUGAAAACAAUAUAAAACCUUUUUUUACCAGCAUAAAUUGUCAAAGUCGCUCAUAAAAAGAUACAAAAACCUAAAAAGUGGAGUAAAAGUGUUGUGAAGUGCUCGUUGGUGAGCGUGAUUGAAAUUUAAAUAUCUGUUAAAUAAAAGUAAUCGUAAUCGUAACAACACAAAUUUUACAUAUUUACGAGUAUUUUUCGGUUAAGUGAAUACUUGUUCGUGAGUUUGGAGUAUAGAGAGUGGAUGUGUUUUUUUUUUUUUAAUUUUGGAUUUUCGUGUCAUGCAUCCGAGAGAUACAUUCAACAACCAUCAGUGCAGCAUUUGAAUCUGAUUUAUUUCAACUCGGAAUCAUUUAAUUAGGACCACAUCACGACCUGUUUUGGUAGUUUUUUUUUUGUCUUUUUUUUUCGUCUUCUUCCUCGAUUUGUCGGGUUUUUUUGUUUUUUUUUUUUGUAUUUUUUUGAUUUUAUGUCGUCGUUUUAUCGCAAAGUUUUUAUUUAUAUUUUGUAUUCCUUAUAAUUCGAUCUUCUUCACAUUUUUUAAUGUAGGCUGUUCUCGAUUCGCAACGAGCGAAAAAGAACUUGAAAUUCUGAACUUAAUUGUUGUCAUCUUCUUUAACUGACAUUAAAAAUACAAGAUAAAAUUAAAUUAAAUAAACAAUCGUUGUUGGAAAAAUACCAAACAGAAAAAAAAUUAAAUAUAAAUGUGCUGUAUCUUCGAAAACAAGAGGGAGAUAUUAUAUCCUUGAGAUGCUGAGGAUCACAUUUUGGCAGAAUUAAUUCGUUUUUCUGGUUGGAAAUUACACAAAAAAAAAAAAAAAAAACAAAAACGAAAAAGGACUAAACCAACACAAAAGAAGCUAAUUAAGAGGAUUUCCUCCUUUGUGAAUCUUUUGAUCACAAAUCAAUCCGUCACUCUCCAGAUCAGAGAAAUCUUCAAAUAAAACACAUACACAAAAAUGUCGUCCUCAGACCGUUCCAUACCUCAUCUUCGUGAUAUCUUCGGAAUCAACAACUAUUCAACAUAUGCAACACCAACAACAACCACAACAAACAACAAUGGCAUCACAACUUACAACAAUACCGAAGCAUAUGUCCAUAAUCCUGUCGUCGAUCUAACCAAAAAACAUUCCAAGAAAAAGCGUGAUAAUAAUAAGACCCUAACAAGUGGCGAUGUCAAGACCCUAGAACGACAUUUAAGUAUGAAAAAAACAAUCCGCAAGAAGAUUAUGCGAGAUCUUCAGCAAGCAUUCGUCGAAGAUCCAAAUGAAUUCAAAAUUGAAAAUUCAAAUCAUGAACAUUUGAAAUCGGAAAUUCGUGCGGAAGCGUUCCGUUUUGGUGAAAAACCAACACGGAAAUCAGAUAAUUUCCUUGAUAUGCUUCGUGGUGAAAAACCAUCGAAUGGUAGCAGUAACCAUGACAACAGUAGUAGUUACAACAAUGCCAAUUCCAUCCAAAGUAGAGAUUAUGAUUUUGAUAAUUCUGGUGGAGGUGGUACUGGACAAGCAAAUGGUGAAAAGCAAAGCUUCUGGCGACGGCUUACGAUGAAGGGUAAAUCAAAGCGAUAGAAUUUUGUUAAAGAAAAGAGUUCUUCAAAUCAAAUAAUAUAAGAAGCAGCAGUUUAGUAGCAGCUCAAAAAGCACAAAUAUAAGAAUUCUAAAUAAACAACAAAACCCCUUUCUCAAGUUUCCUCAGUUUAAUGUUUUCCAUUAUUUUAUUGAUAAAUGUGUGUUGAUGGAUCACGUGCGAACGCAAAUGAUUAUUAAAUAUAAUUAAUUUUUUUUUAAUGAUUUAUUAUUUAAGUUUAUAAAAAAAUUUUAAAACGUUGAUAUGGAAGUAUCUUAAAUAAAAAAUGUGUAUGUGGAAAUUUUGUUUACCUACUAAUUUAAUUUGUAGAAAUGAGAAUCUUUUAAUAAAUAUAUGUAAUUGACUAUUCUGAUGAUAUCAUUAAUGUUUGUUAAUUAAAUAAAUUAAGGAAAAUUCAUAGAUUUAAGGUUAAUUGUUAACUUUUUGCUUUCAAUAAGUUGUACCAAUUGAAUGAUCAAAUAUUCAUAUAAAAUCACAAAAUUUACUUACGUUUGUGUAAUGGAUGGAAAAUAAGUGUGUUUUUAGUUUUAAAUUAAAUACUAAAUGACCCAGUUACUUUUGAAUAACAUUUCUACAGUGGAAUCAGUUUUUUUAUAAAUUGUAUUGAUGUUUUUUUAAAUACAUGUACUUUGUACUUACAUUAUAUUGAAAAAAGGCAUUUCUUAUUUAUUUUAACUUGCGAUAUACUUAGAGGAAAAACAUUUUAGUUCUCACAACUCCACGGAUAGAAUUUAUUUUUAUAUUUGACUUAGAAAUUAUAUUCUUUUACAUACAAUUUUAAUAUAUUAUUUUUUAUUUGAAAUUUUAACAUGAAAGAAACUUAAUCUUAUUUUAUUAUUUGAUAUUUUUGGAAAAAGAAAUUUUUUUUGCUCAAAAUCUUUGUUUUGGUUUUUCUAUAACUAUUAAGAGUGUGUUUUUGAUACUUUCUAUUUUCCAACAUAAAAAUGUCUUCAUACAUAACAGCAUCGAAAUAUAAUUUCUUUUCCAAACUCUGAACAAAAUUAGAUCAGUUUGUAUUCAAUCAGAUUGUAUAUACACUGUGGCGUAUGAGUACUUUUUUUUGUUAAAGAAAUUAAAUUACACAGUAUUUUUUAAUAAUACUGAAUGUAUUCAGUUGUAUUCAUGUAUUUGAAGAGAAGUGAAAGCUCUUUACUGAUUUGCAAGAAACCUUAUAAAUAUCAACAUGGGACUAUUUUUUUGUAUUAUUUUGAAUUAAAAAUUAAUAUUUAUUAUUUCUUAUAUUCCUCUUUAAUAGUAAAAAAAUUAAUUAAAAUUCAAAAAAAAAAAAAUAAUCAACAAAAUUUUAAGUGUACUGUGAGCUUAGAUCUGCCUUAACAAAAAUCAUAUACGUUGUAAAUGCAUAUCAAAUAUUUAACUUAACUAAGCUUAGAAUUUCAGAUUCACCUAUAUAAUAG